GGAGGGGUGCCCGAGCGGUUAAAGGGGACGGGCUGUAAACCCGUUGGCCAUGCCUACGUUGGUUCGAAUCCAACCCCCUCCACCA
rnacentral:tRNA from 1 species